rnacentral:rRNA from 1 species
UACGUAGGGGGCAAGCGUUGUCCGGAAUUAUUGGGCGUAAAGAGCGUGUAGGCGGCCAGAUAAGUCCGGCUGUGAAAUCUCGAGGCUCAACUUCGAGCUGUCGGUGGAAACUAUCUGGCUAGAGUCCGGAAGAGGAGAAUGGAAUUCCUGGUGUAGCGGUGAAAUGCGCAGAUAUCAGGAAGAACACCCGUGGCGAAGGCGGUUCUCUGGGACGGUACUGGACGCUGGAGACGCGAAAAGCGUGGGGGAGCGAACAGG